ACUUCAAAAGAUAAAACGUUUUGGGCCGGUUGUGCAGCAAUCAAAAAGUUAUAACCUAACGAGUGGAAACCCUUCGCUGCCUGCGGUUCACUUUCUCCGACACAGUAAUAAUGGUGGACGUUGUGCAAGCUCGAGGCAUGUUUAAUGAGUUCGACGACCUUGAGCACCAUGGCUUGUUCUCUAGCCGUGAAAUUUCCGACAUGGUGAAACAACGUUGGAAGUUCGAAUAUAGAGCAAACGGUCAAGUCCCCUGAAACAUCAACUACGCGAAAUUUCUAGAUUAGCUCAUUCUCCUCCAUAAUACAGGGAUGAAUCGUAGGGAUCUUCAACAAAUUUGAACAUGUAUUAACAUCUCUUAUUCCAUUUCUGUGAAGUUCUAACACAUCAAACGUCCUUUAUUUGGAAAACUCCUCCUGAUUUGAAUUUGUGACGUUUCUUUCCAUUUUCGGUUUUGCAGGUGCACAACAGCUAUUCGAUGAAAUGCUUACAUGAACUGGGAGUGCAUUUUGAGUAUAUCUAUCUCCCUCUUUUCAUAAUCGUGAUAAAGCUGUUGGAAAAAAGUAAUGGUGUUGGUUCUCAAUGGUGGAGUAAUUGGAGUGCUGGAAUUACAAACACAAUUGGCCCUGCAAUGGGGAUUGAAGCUCUAAAAAUAUCUGUUAUCCUGCUCAGGUAUUUAAAUAGUAUAAAAGAAAGUGAUUUUGUAACAAAUGCAGUUUUUAUUAUCACUUAUAAAACUUAGCUUCGUAAUCAUACCAUGUUUACAAAAUAUUAAUCAAUCUUAAUCUUUUGCACAGUGAUGCUGAUGGGGUUUCUAGUUUAUGUUGAUGGUGCCGUUUCUUUAUAAUAUUGGAUUACUUCUUCAGUAAUGUGUGUGAACUAGAUUUGGUCUUCAACUUCUAAGGCACUUCAAUUUUUUUUUUUUUUUUUGAUGUAAUGAAUAUUUAUGUUUUGUUGCCUGUUAUUUUCUAUAUCUAAGACCUAAUUGUGAUUUGUUAAAAGGUGUAUUUGAUUUUAGACUAGUAGGUAAUCAUUUUCUGGCCCAGAUGAUGUAUAACACAUAACUAACACUCUUUUGUCCAAACAAUAGGUCAUAUUUCCAAAAAAUCAUCUUCUGCCAAAGCUGUUCACUUAUUCACUGACCCAAAAAUAUGAAGAAGUCUACCAAGAGAAUGGUGUCAACCUCAUGAAGGGUGCCUCUAUAAAAAGCUUGACAUCUGGUCCUUAUGGAAAAUGUAACUGGUGUUAAAUUUGAAAAUGGAUAUACCAUUGAAGCAAAUUUGGUAAUUUUACAAUUACAUUGAUCAAUUUCACUGUUUUAUGUUCUAACAACUUCUUGAUUAACCCUUAAGUGCAUGAAAGGUAAAAUGGGUAUAUAUGUUUCAUCUCCCCUUAAGAACAUUAAAGGUUAUGGAGGGGUUGUUCCCAUCACAUUAGUUGGAGUCACCUUGUUUUCUCCAGGGAAAUGUAUUUUGAAGCUUAUAAAAUAUACUCCUGUGACAAGUAAUUGGUAUGAUACAAUGAUACCCAUUUGUUGUUUUUCCCAUUUAGGUUAAGUGAUUGGGGCUUUGUGGUUAGAUCAGAGAGGAUGGAAAGCAAAAUGAUGUACGUAGUUGUAUGACUACAGGUAAUACAUGUAUGGUUUUUGUUAAAUAAAUUAAUAAUAAACAAAAAGAGAUUUGUAUUUGGCUAUUUUAUAGAUGUUCAAGCGUUGUGGAGGGUGUUGUGUCUUAGUUUCAAAGAGUGGUUAAAAGUUUCCAAAUUGAUGAUGACCAAAAUACUAGUGAUGAAGGAGAAAACAUCUCACUGCUACUACACGAUUUCAGAACAACUCACUUCAUUUGCGUCUUUAUAAAGCAAAAAUCAAGGCAAGUAGGCAGUUACAGAUGCAAAAUUCAAUUAAAAAGGCCUUAGAGGAAGCUAGUCUCCCUAUACCCAUAAUAGUGAUUGAUAACGAUCUAUAUCACAUUCUUUUGUAACAACUAUAUUUGUAUACAGUUUAUAAAAUGAGUAAGCCAAUUGCAACAGGAAUACUUACUGUUUUUGGAAAUCUAUUUUGUUGGUUGUUGUCCAAAAUUUGUUCUGAGGUGAAUAUAUGAUGUUUCUAG